rnacentral:misc_RNA from 1 species
AGGAGGCAUUCGUCUGCUGC